rnacentral:rRNA from 1 species
UACAGAGGGUGCGAGCGUUGUCCGGAUUCAUUGGGCGUAAAGAGCUCGUAGGCGGCUCAGUAAGUCGGGUGUGAAACCCUCAGGCUCAACCUGGGGACGCCACUCGAUACUGCUGUGGCUAGAGUCCAGUAGAGGAGUGUGGAAUUCCCGGUGUAGCGGUGAAAUGCGCAGAUAUCGGGAGGAACACCAACGGCGAAGGCAGCACUCUGGGCUGGAACUGACGCUGAGGAGCGAAAGCGUGGGGAGCGAACAGG